rnacentral:rRNA from 1 species
UGGGGAAUUUUGGACAAUGGGCGAAAGCCUGAUCCAGCAAUGCCGCGUGUGUGAAGAAGGCCUUCGGGUUGUAAAGCACUUUUGUCCGGAAAGAAAUCCUUGGCUCUAAUACAGUCGGGGGAUGACGGUACCGGAAGAAUAAGCACCGGCUAACUACGUGCCAGCAGCCGCGGUAAUACGUAGGGUGCAAGCGCUAAUCGGAAUUACUGGGCGUAAAGCGUGCGCAGGCGGUUUGCUAAGACCGAUGUGAAAUCCCCGGGCUCAACCUGGGAACUGCAUUGGUGACUGGCAGGCUAGAGUAUGGCAGAGGGGGGUAGAAUUCCACGUGUAGCAGUGAAAUGCGUAGAGAUGUGGAGGAAUACCGAUGGCGAAGGCAGCCCCCUGGGCCAAUACUGACGCUCAUGCACGAAAGCGUGGGGAGCAAACAGGAUUAGAUACCCUGGUAGUCCACGCCCUAAAACGAUGUCAACUAGUUGUUGGGGAUUCAUUUCCUUAGUAACGUAGCUAACGCGUGAAGUUGACCGCCUGGGGAGUACGGUCGCAAGAUUAAAACUCAAAUGAAUUGACGGGGUCAUAGCUG